GGACAGCUCCUACAGAACACCGAUACGCCUUCCAAUCCUGGCUCCAUUCUACCUGUUCCGUCAUCAGCAAGGGUGUCAGAUGGUCGAAGGCGUCAGCAGUCCUGUGAACGAAUGGUUCUGGUUCGACGAUGAUGAUUGGUUCAACCAUAACGAGCUAGGCGGGGCCCAUCCCUAUGACGACGGCGACCCGGAGAACCAUAGAGUUCACUACUGCUUCUACCAACGGGAUGAAUAGGUUGUAAUGCUGCCUACACAUAUACGUUUCUGGGUCCGAUCUUUCGAUCGUCUGCCAAAGGCAGAAAUAAAGAUUGGCAUAUGUAUUAAGUACUUUGCUUGGAGUGUUGUAUUAUUCUAUUCAAAAUGCUCAACCAAUUUUGAGCUAUUCGUUGUGCAUAUAUAGACUCUAUGCUAUAGCAUUCAUUUUGGAGGGUAGGGGGGCUGUAAAGUUGUAACUAUUGGAUAUUACAUACAAACACGACAGGACAUAUGCAUGCCCAUUUUCCACACAAUUUUAAUGGCAGUGACAACAUUUCAACAAACUGAUUGCUUUGGUUUACACUUUGUCAGACAUUUCAGCUCAUUAGAAGCAAAAGUUUGCUUGGAUAGCCAUAAACCUCAAAUCCCAUACAUUUGAAUGAGAAAACAAUAUGUAUACAGCAAAACACAACUGUUAAUAGAAACAUGCAAAAUGCAGAUAUAUAAAAGACCCUGUGUUGGAAUCACACUUAUGUUAGAUAAGACUAUUUUUGUGGCUACAAAUAUAUAUAUAUAUAUAUUUUUUGCAUGAAGAGAAAGAAAAGAAAAUACGCAUACUGUCCUGACAGACAUACUGAGAGGACCAGUUCCAUAAACAGAAAACAUGAAUGUCAUUCAAGAGAUUAAAAAAAGUAUUUCAACAUUAAUUUUUAUUUUCCUGGGAAUUUCAUGAGAUAACACAGCAUGUAUUUGUCCAAAAUUCCCUUUACUAAUGUUCUAACUUUUGAUCAGUAGGCCAUGGACCCCAGUCUGUGACUAAUUAAAAUUAAUGACAAUACUUCAUUUUCUAGAUUAACCUACACUUCACUAUGACGUCCUUGCUACAACCAAAAUCAGGAAUAACAAUUAAUGACAAUUCUUCAUUUUCUAGAUUAACCUACACUUCACUAAAA